rnacentral:lncRNA from 1 species
ACCACCUACCUCACUGGGUUGUAAGGAAAGUACUUUAUAUACCUGUACAUAAAGCAAAAAACCCAAAUGAAAAAACAUAUAAAACUAUUCUGUUAGAAGGCAGAGCUCGCCUCCUUCCUUAGACGGGGAGGUUCUGUCUCUCUCUACUUGCUCCAUCCCUCCUUUCAGGAAAAAGCAUCAUUUGAGAUGGGGCAAUCUAAGGAUAUUCCCUUGAGGGGUGGAGCUUAAAAAUGACAACCUCCCCCAAACCGGCAGAAGAGUAUCUGCAAAGCCAAGCUUUGGGACAGAGGAUCCAGAGAGUUUAUGGCUGUUAUGGAAAGUGUACAAGUCCCCAUACUUGUCGGCAUCUAAGAACUGCCUCAGGGCUAUUUUCCUCCCCACCUCCUUAGUCAACCUCGAGGCUGAACUGACAGAGUGACAUCACUAUGGUUGCUGGGGAUGGGUUGGAAUGUGAUGGUUCUCUUCAUCUUAUCUCUUCCUUAGACCCUAAGGAAGAAUGUGAGGAGGUGGAAGAAGAUCUGUCCCUCCCAACUCCCUUUCCCAUGUUCUCUCUCCCUUUCUCCCUUUUUUGGUCCCCCACUAUGCUAGCUAUGUAGGAGCUGUCUGGAUUCAUAUUCGAGAGAAAAUGAAUGAAGAUUCAACUCAGGACCCUGACCCCAACUCCAACGCUAUUGUGGAAGCUCCUCAAAGUCAGAAAAAUUCAGGAAAGGAGCAAACUUGGAGAAACCGGAGGCAGAAGACAGUAUUAGGGGGUAACUUCCUGGGGCAGACCCAGUGGUGGGGAGACAACAAGCUCUGCACAUUCCUCCCCCCUGUGCUUGGUCCCUGUCUCUGUGGAUGCAGCUUAAAAACAAAGGUAGUGCUUCGCCCUCGGCCCCCACCUGUCCCUCGACAGACCAUCCAAAAGUUCCCACACUUACUAUCCAAAGAAGAGUCAACGCCAUCAGGGUCCCGAACUCAACUGGUUUCUCGAUCAUCUUUUCCUAUAACUUCCCAGCCAGGACUCCAGACCCCCAACCACCCUCUACAAUCUCGUCAACUGGCCCCAUUAGGUAUUUGGCCCCAGGGUUUCAUCAUGGCUCCUCCCAAGAACAGGACCCCCAAAAGCCAGCAACACCAUCUUUCUCAGAAAGGUACCCCAUUCUCUCAGGGAGAGUGAUAACCCCAUAACCCAUUAUUUAUUUUAAAAAUAAAUAUAUAUAUAUUUGAUUUAAGAGUAAUGUG